rnacentral:rRNA from 1 species
UACCUGGUUGAUCCUGCCAGUAGUCAUAUGCUUGUCUCAAAGAUAAGCCAUGCAUGGUAAGUUG